ACAGUGAAUGCCUUGGUGUAAGUUGCCGAAGAAGGACGCACAUGGUAGCGAUAUUCGUCGGGGAGGAGCCACGAUCCUGUGAUCCGGCGGUGUCCGAAUGGAGAAAUCCGACCGAGUUCAUACUCGAUCACUCCGUGAUAAAAAUAAUUUACGCAAGUAAGUUGUAUAGUCGCGGUAGAGGGAACCGUCCAAACUGAAACAUCUAAGUAGGGCGAGGAAGAGAAAUCAAUAGAUAUUCCGUCAGUAGCGGAGAGCGAAAGCGGAAAAGCCCAAACCCGCCCGUGCGUAGCACUGGAAGUUCCAAUUUCCAAUCACCAAUUUCCAAAUAAUUUCAAAUUUCAAAUGACAAAUUUUCAAAACAUUUCUAAUCUUAAAGGAGUUUUGAGUUUUUGAUUUUGAAUUUCGAGUUUGUUUGGGAUUUGGAAUUUGGGUUUUGGAAUUUCUCAUGCUGCGCAUGAGUGGGGGUUGUAGGAGCCCGAUGUGGGAGUCGACUUGGUAGCAGAAUUAUCUGGAAUGGUAGAUCAUAGAGAGUGAAAAUCUCGUAUGCAAAAUUAAGUCGACCUCUAGGGAUUUCCUGAGUACCACGAUUUAAAUCUUCGUGGGAAGCUGGGGGAGUCAUCCUCCAAGGCUAAAUACAACUUGCAACCGAUAGUGAACUAGUACCGUGAGGGAAAGGCGAAAAGAAGGGCGAGACGCCCAGUGAAAUAGAACCUGAAACUGUUUGCGGACAAACCGAGAGAGCCUGUUCUUCGAACAGGAAAUUUCAAAAGACAAAUAACAAAUUACAAACAAGUUCCAAAUAACAGAACCCAAUAUAUAGUUUUAAAAAGUUUUGCAAUUUGUGAAUUAAUUAUUGUUUGUAUAUUGGAAAUUGGUAAUUGGAGUUUCCCGCUCGGAGAGCGGGUGAUCUCGUGCCUAUUGAAGAAUGAGCCGGCGAGUUACCGCGUAGCGCAUAGUCUAACCGAGUCUGACUCGGGGAGGCGUAGGGAAACCAAGUCUGAAUAGGGCGAUUAGCGCGAAGUGGUAGACCCGAAACCGGGUGAUCUAUCCAUGAGCAGGGUGAACCCCGACGAAAGUCGGGGGGAGGCCCGAACCGGUGUAAGUUGCAAUUUGCUCGGAUGACUUGUGGAUAGGGGUAAAAUGCCAAACGAACCCGGAGAUAGCUGGUUCUCCCCGAAAGGUCUAUAGGGACCGUGGUACGUAAGGUGUUGCCGAUGGUAGAGCUACUGAAUGGGUAAGCGAGGGUAACCGAGUUUACUCAAUCAAACUCCGAAUAGCGGUAAACAUUAACGUACUAAACAGUCGCAUCGGGCUAAGCUGAUGCGGCGAAAGGGAAACAUCCCAGACUCUCAGCUAAGGCCUCUAAAUUACAGCUAAGUUUCAAAGGAAGUUCNNNNNNNNNNNNNAGCGUAACAGCUCACUGGUCGAGGUUGUGGGCGCCGAAGAUUUAUCGAGGAUAAGCUGUAUGCCGAAGCUGGAGAUGCCUGUUCGUAGAACAGGAAAUUUCAAAUAAUAAAUGCCAAGUAACAAACCCUUCGAUUUUACUCAGGGUCCUGAGCAGGUCGAAGGACAAAUUCCAAAUAAUAAAAUCCCAAUGAAUAAAAAAGUUUUUAGAUUUUAAGAUUUGUGAUUUAAAUUUUGUUUGUAAAUUGGAUAUUGAAAAUUGGAGUUUCCCGCUCUGCGAGCGGGUGUGGUAGGGGAGCGUUCCGUAUCCAGUGAAGUUAAGCCGUAAGGCUUGGUGGAGGAUACGGGAGUGAGAAUGCCGGCAUGAGUAGCGUACUAUCCCGGAGAGAAUCCGGGACACCGAAUGCCCGAGGAUUCCGUCGCGAGGUUCGUCCCCGACGGGUUAAUCGGUACCUAACCUAAGGCCAAAUGGCGUAGGGGAUGGAUAACUGGUCAAAAUUCCAGUAUUUAUUUUGAAUCGAAAGCCCUUGUGCUUUGCACAAGGAAAUUACAAUAAACAAACACCAAUUUCCAAACAAAUUCCAAAUUGCAAUUAAGAAAAAUAAAAUAAUUGUGAUUUGUUAAUUAAUAUUUGUUUGUAAUUUGUAAAUUGUGUUUUGUGAUUUUCUCGCGCAGAGCACGAGGUAAUUGGGGGUUGACUGGAUAGGAUGGUUGAAGCCUCAUAACGAUUUGGGGUGUAAGUUAUAAGAUAGUGUCAGCAGGAAAAUCCGCUAAUACGUUUAAUCAAGUAGCGAUGCAGAGUCUUGCGCAAGCAAGACAAUUUCAUCCCAUUCAAUCUACAAGAAAAGACUCGCAGUGAGAUUCAAGGUAAGCCGUACCGCAAACCGACACAGGUGGGCUGGUCGAGAAGACUAAGGUGAUCGAGAGAAAGAGGUUCAAGGAACUCGGCAAAAAAUCUGGACGUAAGUUCGCAAGAUGUCCUCCCUGAAAAAUCUUCGGAUUUUUUAGGGUACAACAAAAGAGUGCUAACCGACUGUUUAUCAAAAACACAGGUCCGUGCAAAAGCGAAAGCUAAGGUAUACGGGCUGACGCCUGCCCAGUGCCGGUAAGUGAAGGGGAUGGGUUUUACGGAUUUAUCCGUAAGGCCUUGAACUCAAGCUCCGGUAAACGGCGGCUUUAACUAUAAGAGUCCUACGGUAGCGAAGUUCCUUGUCGUGUAAGUUACGACCCGCACGAAAGGCGUUACGAGUUAGCAACUGUCUCGAGCCUCUACUCGGCGAAAUUGCGUUGGCUGUGAAGACGCGGCCUACUUCCACCAGGACAAAAAGACCCCGUGGAGCUUUAAACAGGUCGAGGAAAAGUGCUAGGUGGGCAGUUUUACUGGGGCGGUACCCUGCCAAAAGGUAACGCAGGGGUACAAAGGUUGGCUUAGCACGGAUGGACAUCGUGCUGAAUGUAUAAAGGCAUAAGCCAGCUUGAUAGCGACUGCGACGGCAGAAGCUAGUACGAAAGUAGGUCUUAGUGAUCCUCCGAUUGCCUAGUGAUAGGCACGGAGCUUAACGGAUAAAAGCUACCCCGGGGAUAACAGAGUAGUCGCACCCGAGAGUCCAUAUCGACGGUGCGGUUCGCUACCUCGAUGUCGGCUCACCGCAUCCUGGGGCUGGAGAAGGUCCCAAGGGUUGGUCUGUUCGCCCAUUAAAGCGGUACGCGAGCUGGGUUCAGAACGUCGUGAGACAGUUGAGUCCGAUAACAUAUCGGACUGACACCAAGCGGUCUCAUCCCUUGACUGACUGAAAUACACAUCGAAGGAUUAGUAACUAAUUUGUUAUCAACAAUCGUUUAUAAGGAUAUAUUAAACGGUUUAAUUUAAAUAUUUAAAUUUGAUCUUUUUGUCUAAAUAGGAAAGAGGGAAUAUAAAUCUGACUAUAUGCUGGAAACUCCGGUGUAUCCUGUGCUACUCUUGAAAAAGAGUGAAAAAGCAACAGGUGCGGACAAUCAGCAGGAAAGGCCUCAUUAGAUAUGGAAUUAUCUAAUGGGGAAUCCUCAACGACUAUACGUCAGAAUACGUUCAGUUUACAUGAACGUAUAAGAUAUAGUCUGAUCUCCAUGGCGACUUGGAGGGUUGAAAAUCGUUCAGCCGUAAAAACAAGCGGAGUAUUGAUAUACUAAAUGUCGGACUCUAUCCGGUGGAAGCGUUCGAGUCUUGAAGGGAGCUGGCCUCAGUACGAGAGGACCAGGCCGGGGGAAUCCCUGGUGUGCCGGUUGUGGCAUCAGCCGCAACGCCGGGUAGCUACAUUCCCAAGGGAUAACCGCUGAAAGCAUAUAAGUGGGAAGCCCCCCCUAAGAUUAGGAC
rnacentral:rRNA from 1 species